UUUUUAUUGAGAGUUUGAUCCUGGCUCAGGACGAACGCUGGCGGCGUGCUUAACACAUGCAAGUCGAGCGAUGAAGUUCCUUCGGGAA
rnacentral:rRNA from 1 species